UACGUAGGGUGCAAGCGUUGUCCGGAAUUAUUGGACGUAAAGAGCUCGUAGGCGGUCUGUUGCGUCGGCUGUGAAAACCCGGGGCUCAACCCCGGGCCUGCAGCCGAUACGGGCAGACUAGAGUUCGGCAGGGGAGACUGGAAUUCCUGGUGUAGCGGUGAAAUGCGCAGAUAUCAGGAGGAACACCGGUGGCGAAGGCGGGUCUCUGGGCCGAUACUGACGCUGAGGAGCGAAAGCGUGGGGAGCGAACAGG
rnacentral:rRNA from 1 species